rnacentral:rRNA from 1 species
GACGAACGCUGGCGGCGUGCUUAACACAUGCAAGUCGAACGGAAAGGCCCUGCUUUUGUGGGGUGCUCGAGUGGCGAACGGGUGAGUAACACGUGAGUAACCUGCCCUUGACUUUGGGGUAACUUCAGGAAACUGGGGCUAAUACCGGAUAGGAGCUCCUGCUGCAUGGUGGGGGUUGGAAAGUUUCGGCGGUUGGGGAUGGACUCGCGGCUUAUCAGCUUGUUGGUGGGGUAGUGGCUUACCAAGGCUUUGACGGGUAGCCGGCCUGAGAGGGUGACCGGCCACAUUGGGACUGAGAUACGGCCCAGACUCCUACGGGAGGCAGAAGUGGGGAAUAUUGCACAAUGGGCGGAAGCCUGAUGCAGCAACGCCGCGUGCGGGAUGACGGCCUUCGGGUUGUAAACCGCUUUCGCCUGUGACGAAGCGUGAGUGACGGUAAUGGGUAAAGAAGCACCGGCUAACUACGUG